GAUGAAGAACGUAGCGAAAUGCGAUAAGUAGUGUGAAUUGCAGAAUUCAGUGAAUCAUCGAAUCUUUGAACGCACAUUGCGCCCUUUGGUAUUCCUUAGGGCAUGCCUGUUCGAGCGUCAUUUAAACCUUCAAGCUAAGCUUGGUGUUGGGUGACUGUCCGCUUCACUGCGGACUCGCCUCAAAAUUAUUGGCGGCCGGUACAUUGGCUUCGAGCGCAGCAGAAACGCGAACUCGGGCCCGUCGUAUUGGCUCCCAGAAGCUAUCUUCACAAUUUUGACCUCGGAUCAGGUAGGGAUACCCGCUGAACUUAAGCAUAUCAAUAGCGGAGGA
rnacentral:misc_RNA from 1 species